AUGUGUGGAUGGUGUUCAGUACCAGGGAAAGGUGUGUGUACGUGUGUGUGGAUAGUGUUCACUACCAGGGACAGGUGUGUUUACCU
rnacentral:pre_miRNA from 1 species